GGACAGAUGGAGCAAACUAUUCCAUUUAAUUAUCCUAUUGACUCAACCAAUAAUGUGUACCAAUUUUUACCAAAAUUGUAGCAACUUUAACUUUGGACCCCUGCACAAACUUAAAUUGGCGUUUGUCACC